rnacentral:rRNA from 1 species
AGUGAACGCUGGCGGCGAGCUUAACACAUGCAAGUCGAACGAGAACGGGUUAUAGCUUGCUAUAAUUGUCAGCUAAGUGGCGCACGGGUGAGUAAUGUAUAGGUAAUAUGCCUCUUACUAAGGGAUAACAAAUGGAAACGUUUGCUAAUACCUUAUACUCCUUAUUAACAGAAGUUAAUAAGGGAAAGAUUUAUUGGUAAGAGAUUAGCCUGUAUUGUAUCAGUUAGUUGGUGGGGUAAUGGCUUACCAAGACUAUGACACAUAACUGGUUUGAGAGGAUGAUCAGUCACACUGGAACUGAGACACGGUCCAGACUCCUACGGGAGGCAGCAGUGGGGAAUAUUGCACAAUGGACGAAAGUCUGAUGCAGCAACGCCGCGUGGAGGAUGACACAUUUCGGUGCGUAAACUCCUUUUAUAUGAGAAGAUAAUGACGGUAUUAUAUGAAUAAGCACCGGCUAACUCCGUGCCAGCCGCCGCGGUAAAAC